AGUGAACGCUGGCGGUAGGCCUAACACAUGCAAGUCGAACGGCAGCACAGUAAGAGCUUGCUCUUACGGGUGGCGAGUGGCGGACGGGUGAGGAAUACAUCGGAAUCUACUUUUUCGUGGGGGAUAACGUAGGGAAACUUACGCUAAUACCGCAUACGACCUACGGGUGAAAGCAGGGGUUCUUCGGACCUUGCGCGAUUGAAUGAGCCGAUGUCGGAUUAGCUAGUUGGCGGGGUAAAGGCCCACCAAGGCGACGAUCCGUAGCUGGUCUGAGAGGAUGAUCAGCCACACUGGAACUGAGACACGGUCCAGACUCCUACGGGAGGCAGCAGUGGGGAAUAUUAGACAAUGGGCGCAAGCCUGAUCCAGCCAUACCGCGUGGGUGAAGAAGGCCUUCGGGUUGUAAAGCCCUUUUGUUGGGAAAGAAAAGCAGCAGGUUAAUACCCCGCUGUUCUGACGGUACCCAAAGAAUAAGCACCGGCUAACUUCGUG
rnacentral:rRNA from 1 species